CCGCGGUAACCCGUGCGAAGGUAGCGUAAUCAUUUGCCCCUUAAUUGAGGGCCAGUAUGAAUGGAUUAACGAGAAAGAAGCUGUCUCCAACUAGGCAUGUAAAACCUAUCCUUUAGGUGAAAAGACCUAAAUCACCAUAGAAGACAAAAAGACCCUGUCGCGCUUUACCUUGAAUAAUCACAAAUUAGAUUAAAAGAGGGUUGGUUGGGGCGACCCCAGAUAACACAUAAACAUCUAUAUAAAUCAAGACAAACCAGUCUAAUCACUUGACCCUAUUAAGAUUAAAGAACAAGUCACCGCAGGGAUAACAGGCUAAUCCCCUCUUAGAGCCCAAAUCGACGAGGGGGGUUGGCACCUCGAUGUUGGCUUAGGGUAUCCUUUAGGUUGCUGCCGUCUAAAAUGGAAGGUUUGUUCAACCUACUCCACCCU
rnacentral:rRNA from 1 species